GUGACGGCGUACCUUUUGUAUAAUGGGUCAUCGACUUGGUCUAUCUAGCAAGCUUAAGCCGUUAGGUGUAGGCGCAGCGAAAGCGAGUCUUAAUAGGGCGUUGAGUUAGAUGGAUCAGACCCGAAACCGAGUGAUCUAGGCAUGACCAGGAUGAAGGUAAGGUAACACUUGCUGGAGGUCCGAACCCACACCUGUUGAAAAAGGUCGGGAUGAGUUGUGCCUAGGGGUGAAAGGCCAAUCAAACUCGGAGAUAGCUGGUUCUCCGCGAAAUCUAUUUAGGUAGAGCGUCAUCCGAAUACCCCGGGGGGUAGAGCACUGGAUGGGUAAUGGGGCCCCACAGGCUUACUGAUCCUAACCAAACUCCGAAUACCCGGGAGUACUAGAUGGCAGACACACGGCGGAUGCUAACGUCCGUCGUGGAGAGGGAAACAACCCUGACCUACAGCUAAGGCCCCCAAUUCGUGGCUAAGUGGGAAAGCAGGUGGGACGACCAAAACAACCAGGAGGUUGGCUUAGAAGCAGCCAUCCUUUAAAGAUAGCGUAACAGCUCACUGGUCUAAUCAAGUUGUCCUGCGGCGAAGAUGUAACGGGGCUCAAGCCACGAGCCGAAGCUUAGGAUGCCGUAAGGCAUGGUAGCGGAGCGUAGUGUGACAUAGAACUCGCCCUCUUCUGCAUCCUCCGGGAUGUAAUGGAGGGCAGGGUUCUUUCUGUGAAGCCCGGGCGUGAGCCAUCGGGUGGAGAGAUCACUAGCGAGAAUGAUGACAUGAGUAGCGACAAAGAGUGUGAGAGACACUCUCGCCGAAAGUCCAAGGGUUCCUGCUUAAAGCUAAUCUGAGCAGGGUAAGCCGGCCCCUAAGGCGAGGCCGAAAGGCGUAGUCGAUGGGAACCAGGUUAAUAUUCCUGGGCCAUGUGGUGGUGACGGAUCGCAGAUGUAGUUCUUCCUUAUCGGAUUGGGAGGGCUGCUGAGCGGUCCCUGGAAAUAGCCCCACUUUAGGACCGUACCCUAAACCGACACAGGUGGACUGGUAGAGCAUACCAAGGCGCUUGAGAGAACGAUGUUGAAGGAACUCGGCAAAAUACCUCCGUAAGUUCGCGAGAAGGAGGCCCGGUUCCUAGGCAACUAGGGGCUGGGGGCACAAACCAGGGGGUGGCGACUGUUUACUAAAAACACAGGGCUCUGCGAAGUCGCAAGACGACGUAUAGGGUCUGACGCCUGCCCGGUGCCUGAAGGUUAAAAGGAGGGGUGAGAGCUCCGAAUUGAAGCCCAGGUAAACGGCGGCCGUAACUAUAACGGUCCUAAGGUAGCGAAAUUCCUUGUCGGGUAAGUUCCGACCUGCACGAAUGGCGUAACGACUUCCCCGCUGUCUCCAACAUCGACUCAGCGAAAUUGAAUUGCCUGUCAAGAUGCAGGCUUCCCGCGGUUAGACGGAAAGACCCCGUGCACCUUUACUACAGCUUCACACUGGCAUCAGGCACAACAUGUGCAGGAUAGGUGGUAGGCUUCGAAGCAGGGACGCCAGUUCCUGUGGAGCCUUCCUUGAGAUACCACCCUUGUUCUGCUUGAUGUCUAACCGCGAUCCGUUAUCCGGAUCCGGGACCCUGUGUGGCGGGUAGUUUGACUGGGGCGGUCGCCUCCUAAAGCGUAACGGAGGCGCGCGAAGGUUGGCUCAGAGCGGUCGGAAAUCGCUCGUUGAGUGCAAUGGCAGAAGCCAGCCUGACUGCAAGACUGACAAGUCGAGCAGAGUCGAAAGACGGCCAUAGUGAUCCGGUGGUCCCAAGUGGGAGGGCCAUCGCUCAACGGAUAAAAGGUACGCCGGGGAUAACAGGCUGAUACUGCCCAAGAGUCCAUAUCGACGGCAGUGUUUGGCACCUCGAUGUCGGCUCAUCUCAUCCUGGGGCUGGAGCAGGUCCCAAGGGUACGGCUGUUCGCCGUUUAAAGAGGUACGUGAGCUGGGUUUAGAACGUCGUGAGACAGUUCGGUCCCUAUCUGCCGUGGGUGUAGGAUACUUGAGAGGAGUUGCCCCUAGUACGAGAGGACCGGGGUGAACGAUCCACUGGUGGACCAGUUGUCGUGCCAACGGCAGUGCUGGGUAGCUAUGAUCGGACAGGAUAACCGCUGAAGGCAUCUAAGCGGGAAGCCCCCCUCAAAACAAGGUAUCCCUGAGGGCCGUGGAAGACCACCACGUCGAUAGGCCGGAGAUGUAAGCAUGGUAACAUGUUCAGUUGACCGGUACUAAUGGCCCGAUAGGCUUGAUUUGAUCCAG
rnacentral:rRNA from 1 species